rnacentral:rRNA from 1 species
GAUGAACGCUGGCGGCGUGCCUAAUACAUGCAAGUCGAGCGAACAGAUAAGGAGCUUGCUCCUUUGACGUUAGCGGCGGACGGGUGAGUAACACGUGGGUAACCUACCUAUAAGACUGGAAUAACUCCGGGAAACCGGGGCUAAUGCCGGAUAACAUUUAGAACCGCAUGGUUCUAAAGUGAAAGAUGGUUUUGCUAUCACUUAUAGAUGGACCCGCGCCGUAUUAGCUAGUUGGUAAGGUAACGGCUUACCAAGGCAACGAUACGUAGCCGACCUGAGAGGCUGAUCGGCCACACUGGAACUGAGACACGGUCCAGACUCCUACGGGAGGCAGCAGUAGGGAAUCUUCCGCAAUGGGCGAAAGCCUGACGGAGCAACGCCGCGUGAGUGAUGAAGGUCUUCGGAUCGUAAAACUCUGUUAUUAGGGAAGAACAAAUGUGUAAGUAACUGUGCACGUCUUGACGGUACCUAAUCAGAAAGCCACGGCUAACUACGUG